rnacentral:tRNA from 2 species
GGUAUGUUAGCUCAGAGGUCUAGAGCAUCGUGCUUAUAGUCGUAUCUUUGACGUCUAUACUUACGUCACACCGUUCCAAGCAACGCGAUGGUCACGGGUUCAAACCCCGUACGUACCA